UAAAGUAGUUUACAAUAUAUAUUAUUUAAGAUUUUAAUAUUUAUAAAAAUAUUGGAUUCUGUGUUUAUAUGUAAACUGUUUAUACUUAAACCAUCAUUUUUAGAAACUUCGAUAUAUUUAGACUGGUACCCGUAAAAAUAUUUAAACUAAGACCCUAUACCAAAGUUUACCCUAUAACGUCAUCCCGUUAGCAUAGAAUUCUAUAUAGGUUUGGAAACGUACAUCAAAAGCUCAACAUAAACUUUCCUCGGUCUCCGAUUUGGGGUAAAUCGAAACAAGAAACUGUAAAGUACCUUUUAAAGUCUUAGAUAAUAUUGUUAAAAGAGGAUUAAUUACUAUAGUCAGUGGAUUAAGCACAUCAGACACGUGGCCACGUAAAUCCGAAACAAAUCUUUUUCUUCCAAGUCUUGAACUCGAAUAAUAAUUGGUUGGUCGAUAUCAUAAUCUGAUUAAUGAAAAUAAUUAAAAUAAAAAGGUAAUAAUGUGGUACUUGGUUUUCAUAAGAGGCCAAAUUUUGAAACAAUAAACAAUGUGCCAAAGAAUAUUUGUGGGCAUCAUUAGUAGGCAAAACUCCAAAGAAACCAGCUAGAACCACACACGGACACGCUCACAUACAUCCAUGUAUACAGGUAUUUGUCUUACAUAUAAUAUUACACUUCUUAAUUAAUUUUCGCCGCAAUUUAACAUGUUAUAUGGUCAAGAAUGUCGUAGACAAUUCCAAUAAAAUGAAUUCUCAUUUUAGUAAGAAAUAUGCAUUUUCUAUAAACCUGAAACAAUGUGAACAAAUGGAACUGCACAUUUUGAAAAAAGAAAUUAAAAUAUAUUUUUUAACAAAACAUAACAAAGAAAUAUCGUGAAAAUUCAUUAUUAAAAUGUUUAUUCGUCUAUUAUAGCAUCAAGAUUUAAAAUUCUAAAAUCCAUACUACUAACAAUAGGGAACCUAAAUGUGUUGUUUCAAUACAUAAUAAUUUUUUUUAACGUUUUUCGUCCGUUGAUUUUCACACACUGCAAUCUAUUUUAUAUUCUCCAGUUCCGUUUUUAUUCGAUAGCUGGUUUGCUAUCCAUGAAGCUCACAAGAUUCAUCACUUUUUCUUGCGCAUCACCAUCACUUUUCUCAUAUAUAUCAAUUAUCAAAUAUUGUCAGUUCGUUACGGAUUAAAUAAGAUUAGCUAUAAUAUGAUUAUAUGAACAAGCCCUGAAAAACGAAAAAACAUUAUGGGGAUAUAAAGAAAAAGAAUACACGGACUAAUAAACCAUCAAAGUUUCACUAGAUCUUUUAUAAAAUACGUUUCGUGAGUCCAAAGUUCAAAAUCUUGAAUAUGCUUACGUGUGCUGGUUAAUGCGAGGGCAUGUGUGUUUUCAGGACCACUUUUGCAUAUAGUUUUUACCCGUAACAAACAUAACUUAUCUUAUUUAAAGUAAUCAACAACGCAUGAAAAUGUUCUAUACGAUAAGAUUAAAAUGAAAAUGAUUACACUUCAAAUCCAUAUGAAAAUGACGACAGGCGUGACGAUAUUGUUCCAGACAUGUAUAGAAAGAUAUUAAAAUAUUGUCAAGUGCUUUUCGAUCGUCUUUGCUUUUGUAUCUAAAAUACAAAUAUAUGUCCGACGACUCCAGUCGGUGUUGGCUAGUCUAGACGUUUAGUAGAUAAGUUAGAAUCUAAGUGUUGCGUCUGAAUAUUGAAUGUAUUAUUUUAGACUUCCUUUCUGAAAUGUAGAGUAAUCGAAGGAUGAAUUAGAAAUAAACGAUAAAAUGGGAUGUAUCCUGUAGAUUUCGAUAAAUUUUAGAUUCAUAAAGUUGUUUAAAAAAAAUUCUAACAUCUCUGAGACUUACAAAGUUACGUCUGAAUGAGACAGGCGAAAGUAGUUUCAAGUCUAGAUUCAGUGUCCCUCUAAACAUACAAAGUCCUCCCUGAACAAUGACAGCCCCUUCCAUUAUUUCUUGUAGCAUACAUAUACGCUAAUAAAUACUAGAAAAAUAUUAAUGAAACUCCAAACUUGAUAGGACUAACUAGAAAUUUUUGUUUGAUUAUUUUUAUUUUACCAAAAUUGUGUGAUCUAGAUCGAUACUAUACAUAUUGAGAUGGAUAUGACAUUCUUCAUAUGCACCAUCAGUUUUAGCUCAAUUCAGAAUAUCAUAGUACACAAAAUCAUGUGAUAUAGGAUACACGACACGCCUUUAACUUGUACUGUCCUAUAAAAUUGCGAACAUUAAGUUACAUGGGCAGUUCCUCCACGUCCUCCUUCUCAGGGAGAGAGUCUUUCCAUCUAAAUCCUUCUUUGUAAGCGGUGACCUUCUCCCAGAAUCUAAAAGUGGGAAUUUUUUUUGAAUCUUCUAACUGUUUGUUAUUUUGUCUUAAGGUUUACUUGGGGCCGUAGAUGCAACGAUUCAUUCUCAUUCGUAUGAGAUUCGAGGUUUUGGAUGAUAUUGUGACGUCACAUGUUUCUGUGACUAAUCAUCUGUUAUUUGAAGAAAUUGAAGUGA